rnacentral:rRNA from 1 species
AUUGAACGCUGGCGGCAGGCCUAACACAUGCAAGUCGAGCGAGCGGCGGACGGGUGAGUAAUGUCUGGGAAACUGCCUGAUGGAGGGGGAUAACUACUGGAAACGGUAGCUAAUACCGCAUACCCUCAGAUGUGCCCACAUGGGAUUUGCUAGUAGGUGGGGUAAUGGCUCACCUCGGCGACGAUCCCUAGCUGGUCUGAGAGGAUGACCAGGCACACUGGAACUGAGACACGGGCCCGACUCCUACGGGAGGCAGCAGUGGGGAAUAUUGCACAAUGGGCGCAAGCCUGAUGCAGCCAUGCCGCGUGUAUGAAGAAGGCCUUCGGGUUGUAAAGUACUUUCAGCGAGGAGGCGUUACUCGCAGAAGAAGCACCGGCUAACUCCGUGCCAGCAGCCGCGGUAAUUC